AUCAAGCAGGUGUGUGGUAAAAUAGCCCCACCAAAACACAACCCUAUUCCUCUGAAACUAGAGUCUCUGAGCAAUCAUGGCCACUAGUUCCAAUUCCUCAAUCUCUAGCCGGCUACUCAAAUCUUCAAAAAUGGAUCUCGUUGCAUGCCUGCCAAAGGAACAGUUGAACCGCACGGGGGACCUGCAGCUUCCAGAUAGUUUUCAACACGGUGUUGGUUGCUGUAUUCAUCGAGCUACUGCCUUGGUUCCAUGCCCAGCAUUCGACCUCUAAAUGGUUAUGAAGAAGAAGAAUAUCAGGACUAUCCAAACCCUUAGAUGGAUCCUGAUACUAGUAUUUGAGGCUAGACUACCUCCUUUUUGUGAACUACUAUGUUGUAGUUCACUGACUUAGUUUCAGAGACAAUAUUUAUAUUUUUGCUAUUAUGAAAA